rnacentral:rRNA from 1 species
CGGAUUUACUGGGCGUAAAGCGUGUGUAGGCGGCGUGACAAGUUGGGCGUGAAAGCCCCGUGCUCAACGCGGGGAGGCCGCACAAUACUGUCAGGCUAGAGGGCAUCAGAGGGGUGUGGAAUUCCCGGAGUAGCGGUAAAAUGCGCAGAUAUCGGGAGGAACACCGGUGGCGAAAGCGGCACCCUGGGGUGCACCUGACGCUGAGAGACGACAGCUAGGGGAGCGAACAGGAUUAGAGACCCUGGUAGUCCUAGCCGUAAACGAUGGAUGCUAGGUGUGGGAGUGAAGAACUUCUGUGCCGCAGCGAACGCGAUAAGCAUCCCGCCUGGGGAGUACGGCCGCAAGGUUAAAACUCAAACGAAUUGACGGGGACCCGCACAAGCAGCGGAGCGUGUGGUUUAAUUCGAUGCUACACGAAGAACCUUACCUGGGAUUGACAUAUGGGUGGUAGUGAGCCGAAAGGCAAGCGACCCUUCGGGGAGCCUAUACAGGUGCUGCAUGGCUGUCGUCAGCUCGUGCCGUGAGGUGUCGGGUUAAGUCCCGUAACGAGCGCAACCCCUGUCCUUAGUUACAAGUGUCUAAGGGGACUGCCGGCGGGAAGCCGGAGGAAGGUGGGGAUGACGUCAAGUCAGCAUGGCCCUUAUAUCCAGGGCGACACACACGCUACAAUGGUCGGUACAGAGGGCAGCGAAGCCGCGAGGUGGAGCGAAACCCAGAAAGCCGGUCGUAGUUCGGAUUGCAGGCUGCAACUCGCCUGCAUGAAG